UCACUCCCUGCAACAUUAGUAGCGUGUUUGCAAAAAUAUCUAUAUCAGAGAGACUGGUAGUUUUUUUUUUUUUUUUUUUUUUUUUAACUAGUGUUUUAACUACAUAAUGGAUAUUCAUGGUGAUAACUGGUUUGGUAGGAAGGAGAGUCGAACGAGUUGCUUCUCACGAAGCUCAAAACUGCAUCUUGGAAGCCACAAGUCUUCUAAUACUUUGGCGGUGGCGACCAGGGUGGCGUCUCUGAGGACUCAAUAUUCCAGACUGAGGAAACCCAAACCCAACGGGAGUGAGAAGAAGCCCCUCACGAUGAGGCAGCGGUGGCUCCUGAGGGCCCUCGGCUUCCUGAAGCCACACAUCGUUCAUCGGCAAAGCGAGAACCCUCUGGGUUCUGAUAAAGUGGAGGAAACUGCAGACGAGUCGGAUGAAAUGGAGACGGACAAAGAAGUGGACAGUUUCGACUCCAUCAGCGUGUGUCUCUCCCCGAUGCCCGGCACUCCAGACACCGGCAUCCCCGAGGAAACUGCCUCGUACUCGCUGUCUCCCCGGAGCACAUCCGGCAAACGCACGCGCUCCUCCGAAUCCGACAUCGAGCUGCAGAAGCUGGAGGUGUUGAAGCAGAUGUCCGCUAAAGUCCUGGAGCACCCGUCUCCGGACGCCGCCGCCGUCUUCUCCAGCCAAGUGGCGAUGGAGUACCGUCUGCUGAGAGACCCCAGCGUCCAGAUGCGCGUCCGCCGGCAGAUCAUGGCUCUCCUCUACGAGGCACAGGAUUCAGAGAAACGUUCCCGGCAGUCCAAGAGACACGAGCAGAGAGAACUCAAAACUGAGGACGACGUUACUUGGAUUAACACUAAUAUAUAAGCUGAAAAAUAGUGUUGUUCUUGUGUUUUCUACAUUGUACUGAACUAUUUUCCUAGUGGAAGCUUUGAGAUAAUCUACAUGUAAGAUAAUAAAACUGUCCAACUCUUCAUGUGUAUUUUUAUUUUUUUGUAGCUGUGAG
rnacentral:lncRNA from 1 species